GACAGAGGGUGCAAACGUUGCUCGGAAUCACUGGGCGUAAAGGGCGUGUAGGCGGAUAGAUAAGUCGGGCGUGAAAUCCCCAGGCUCAACCUGGGAACUGCACUCGAAACUGUUUAUCUUGAGUGCCGGAGAGGAAAGCGGAAUUCCUGGUGUAGAGGUGAAAUUCGUAGAUAUCUGGAGGAACACCGGUGGCGAAGGCGGCGUUCUGGACUGUUUCUGACACUGAGGAACGAAAGCCAGGGGAGCAAACGGG
rnacentral:rRNA from 1 species